rnacentral:ribozyme from 1 species
AGACAUACAUACACAAAUAAAUAAAUAAAUAAAUGAAUAAUUGACCAUUUUGCUAACUUUGCAAGAGUGUGCAUGCGUUUGCCUUCGUUUUGUUUUGUUUUUCAAUCUGUUUCUCUAUUUUGCG